GGGGAUUUAGCUCAGCGGCAUAAGCGCCUGCCUUGCAAGCAGGCGGUCGUGAGUUCGAUCCCCG
rfam:Cavia porcellus supercont2_12 genomic scaffold, whole genome shotgun sequence.